UGGGGAAUUUUGGACAAUGGGGGCAACCCUGAUCCAGCCAUACCGCGUGAGUGAAGAAGGCCUUCGGGUUGUAAAGCUCUUUCGGCGGGGACGAAACGGUCCGUGACAACACCACGGACUAAUGACAGUACUCGCAGAAGAAGCACCGGCUAACUACGUGCCAGCAGCCGCGGUAAUACGUAGGGUGCAGGCGUUAAUCGGAAUUACUGGGCGUAAAGCGUGCGCAGGCGGCUCCUUAAGUCAGAUGUGAAAUCCCCGGGCUUAACCUGGGAACUGCGUUUGAAACUGAGGGGCUAGAGUGUGGAAGAGGGGGGUGGAAUUCCAGGUGUAGCAGUGAAAUGCGUAGAGAUCUGGAGGAACACCGAUGGCGAAGGCAGCCCCCUGGGCUAACACUGACGCUCAUGCACGAAAGCGUGGGGAGCAAACAGGAUUAGAUACCCACGUAGUCCCUGAGCGGGCUGGCAAGGCG
rnacentral:rRNA from 1 species